UCUUCGUUUCAAGCUUCGGUUUGUUUCGCGUGAACGUCGUCAGUCACUCCAGUACCUAUAUAAGACGCUUACAGUCUACUAGUCGCAUAUUCCCAUUUGUUUUUUCGCACUCAGUAUCCUCAGCUGUGUCAGAAGCAAAUCUGCUAACAUGAAGUUUUUCGGAAUUGUAAUGGCUAUGGUCAUCGUUGUUCUCUUGGGAUUUACAACAACGGAAGCACAGAGAUUCAAAUAUAACAUCCCACCAUUCAAUCCACGUGGACCCCCCAAACUACCGCCCAUCAGAUUCUGAAAAUUCUAAAAGGAAGAAAGAGGAAUUGGUUAAUAAAAAAUCUAUAUUUAAUAAUUAAAUGUAUCACAUAUAUAAAAAAUAUUUUUGUCUAUAAUAAAUAGUCAUGUUACCCACAA